AUUGAACGCUGGCGGCAGGCCUAACACAUGCAAGUCGAGCGGAGCGGCGGACGGGUGAGUAAUGCCUAGGAAUCUGCCUGGUAGUGGGGGAUAACGUCCGGAAACGGGCGCUAAUACCGCAUACUGACGGAGGGGAUUGCGUCUGAUUAGCUAGUUGGAGGGGUAACGGCCCACCAAGGCGAUGAUCAGUAGCCGGUCUGAGAGGAUGAACGGCCACAUUGGGACUGAGACACGGCCCAGACUCCUACGGGAGGCAGCAGGGGGGAAUAUUGGACAAUGGGCGAAAGCCUGAUCCAGCCAUGCCGCGUGUGUGAAGAAGGUCUUCGGAUUGUAAAGCACUGUAAGUUGGGAGGCGUUACCAACAGAAUAAGCACCGGCUAACUUCGUGCCAGCAGCCGCGGUAAUUC
rnacentral:rRNA from 1 species